UGUGUAGAAACAUCCGCUUCUACUGGAAAAAAAAAAAGAGAAAAAGAAAUGAAAAAAAGGGUAUCUAUAUAGAGAAAUGAAGAAUAAGCACUUGCCUUAGAAAUAGGCUCAUGCAUUAAUAUGAAUUUGAGUGAAAAAGAGUCAAGAUUGGACAAAACCCCAAAUAAAGUUCCUUCACAAAGAAAAACAACAACAUAAAUGCCGAGUUGUAAAACUUUUUGUAAUCCAUUCUAUUGUCUAC
rnacentral:lncRNA from 1 species